rnacentral:rRNA from 1 species
UACAGAGGUGUCGAGCGUUGUCCGGAAUUACUGGGCGUAAAGGGCGCGUAGGUGGGUUGGUAAGUCGGAUGUGAAAUCACUGGGCUUAACCCAGUAACUGCAUCCGAAACUGCCGGCCUUGAGUGCAGAAGAGGAGAGCGGAAUUCCCAGUGUAGCGGUGAAAUGCGUAGAUAUUGGGAGGAACACCAGUGGCGAAGGCGGCUCUCUGGUCUGCAACUGACACUGAAGCGCGAAAGCUAGGGGAG